GAUGAACGCUGGCGGCGUGCCUAAUACAUGCAAGUCGAGCGAAGCGGGGACGGGUGAGUAACACGUGGAUAACCUCCUAUAAGACUGGGAUAACUUCGGGAAACCGGAGCUAAACCGGAUGCUUAUAGAUGGAUCCGCGCUGCAUUAGCGAGUUGGUAAGGUAACGGCUUACAAAGGCAACGAUGCAUAGCCGCCCUGGGAGGGUGAUCAGGCACACUGGAAUUGAGAACCGGCCCAGACUCCAACGGGAGGCAGCAGUAGGGAAUCUUCCGCAAUGGGCGAAAGCCUGACGCAGCAACGCCGCGUGAGUGAAGAAGGUACUCGGAUCGUAAAGCUCUGUUAGUAGGGAAGCGUUACCGAAUCAUAAAGCCACGGCUAACUACGUGCCAGCAGCCGCGGUAAUAC
rnacentral:rRNA from 1 species